GAUGAACGCUGGCGGCGUGCCUAAUACAUGCAAGUCGAGCGAAUGGAUUAAGAGCUUGCUCUUAUGAAGUUAGCGGCGGGCGGGUGAGUAACACGUGGGUAAACUGCCCAUAAGACUGGGAUAACCCCGGGAAACCGGGGCUAAUACCGGAUAACAUUUUGAAACGCAUGGUGCGAAAUUGAAAGGCGGCUUCGGCUGUCACUUAUGGAUGGACCCGCGUCGCAUUAGCUAGUUGGUGAGGUAACGGCUCACCAAGGCAACGAUGCGUAGCCGACCUGAGAGGGUGAUCGGCCACACUGGGACUGAGACACGGCCCAGACUCCUACGGGAGGCAGCAGUAGGGAAUCUUCCGCAAUGGACGAAAGUCUGACGGAGCAACGCCGCGUGAGUGAUGAAGGCUUUCGGGUCGUAAAACUCUGUUGUUAGGGAGGAACAAGUGCUAGUUGAAUAAGCUGGCACCUUGACGGUACCUAACCAGAAAGCCACGGCUAACUACGUGCCAGCCGCCGCCGUAA
rnacentral:rRNA from 1 species